UACGGGGGGGUGCGAGCGUUGUCCGGAAUCACUGGGCGUAAAGGGCGCGUAGGUGGCCUGAUAAGGGUGUGGUGAAAGUCCGGGGCUCAACCCCGGAUCUGCCGUGCCGACUGUCAGGCUAGAGUACUGUAGGGGCAGGCGGAAUUCCGGGUGUAGCGGUGGAAUGCGUAGAGAUCCGGAGGAAGACCGGUGGCGAAGGCGGCCUGCUGGGCAGUUACUGACGCUGAGGAGCGAAAGCGUGGGGAGCGAACAGG
rnacentral:rRNA from 1 species